AGGCUGCUAGAUAUAAUGAUAUUGAAGAUGUCAAAAACUUAGAUGCCAUUGGGAUUCCUCUUGAUUCCAAGGAUGCCCAAGGCCGAACAGCACUUCAUAUGGCUUCAGCAAAUGGAAAUGUCGACAUAGUUAACUAUCUAAUCAGCAAUAACGCGGUAAGGGAACCAACCCAUGAGAUAAAUGCAUCAUAGUUUAUAAUAGCGAACUUGAUUCUUCUUUCUGUCACAUAUUUUCAUUAUUUGUCACAGCCCGUUCUGACCGGCAUUUAGCCAAAACCUGUUUUGACCCGAACCAAAAAGAACACUUUUUAGAGUGGCCCAUUCUGACCCAAACCCAGUGUGACCCAUUACCCUGCACCACCCAUUUUGCCAGGUAUAGUUUCAUAACACAACUAGGUUACUGGACAUCCGAUGACGGCCUCUCUAAUUUAACCUUUAUUUUUCUAUUUAAGCAAAA